GAUGAACGCUGGCGGCGUGCCUAAUACAUGCAAGUCGAGCGAACGGACGAGAAGCUUGCUUCUCUGAUGUUAGCGGCGGACGGGUAAGUAACACGUGGAUAACCUACCUAUAAGACUGGGAUAACUUCGGGAAACCGGAGCUAAUACCGGAUAAUAUUUUGAACCGCAUGGUUCAAAAGUGAAAGACGGUCUUGCUGUCACUUAUAGAUAGAUCCUGGCUGCAUUAGCUAGUUGGUAAGGUAACGGCCUACCAAGGCAACGAUGCAUAGCCGACCUGAGAGGGUGAUCAGUCACACUGGAACUGAGACACGGUCCAGACUCCUAAGGGAGGCAGCAGUAGGGAAUAUUGCACAAUGGGCGAAAGCCUGAACGAGCCAAGCCGCGUGUGUGAAGAAGGUCUUCGGAUUGUAAAACACUUUUAGUUGGGAAGAAGAGAAGUUAAAGUAAACGUUGCUGUUUUGACGGUACCUAAAGAAGAAGCCCCGGCUAACUACGUG
rnacentral:rRNA from 1 species